GUAUGUGGUUUUAGCGGUGUUGCUUAGCUGUGUGAUGCUAGCGUUGUCUAUUUACCAUGCGCUUUAUUUGUCUAGUGUGACGUUAGGCUACUGAGACUGUGUGCAGGUGUGAUGUGCUGCUCACAAUCAGUGCGCUGUGACGUCAAGGCUCCCAGCUGUGUAGCAUGGUAACUUAACGUAGCUCCGGUCGGAGCGCCAGCUGUCGUCGUCACAACUAUUAAAGACGCUAUCAUGACUUUCGUAUGUACCAUCGUGAGUAUCAUGUCCUCGGACCACGGUCCUUGAUUUUGCAUGCGUUAAGGCGGGCUGUGUGAGACUUGCGUGAAGUUGCCCCCCACGCAAAACGUCAGCAAAAUCUUUUUUUUUUUUUUUUUAAAUAGACAUCUAAUUACGGUGCGGUGACGUCACCACCCCCACACAUGCUCCAAGUUCACUCCAAAUAGGCUCGUUUGUUUGUGCUGAUAAACGCUUCGUUUGUGCUGCUUCGGAUUUGGAGAUAUUAAAAGAAUAUUUAUAGGUCAUUCUGGGGUCGUUUGUGCUGCUUCCGUUUAUAAAAUAUUAGGCAUUAAGUUCUAUGAGCUUACGUCACCAGCCCCACACAUGCUCAAAUUAACCCGAAAUGGCCUCAAUCGUUUGUGCCGGUUUUUGCCGACUGUCUUACUUUAACACAGUUGAAGUAACAAGGGCCACAGCGGAUCACAGGAUGUGUGAAACGUAACGAACUCCAAGGUCUGUCUGUGUUUGGUCAAAUGGAUGCACUUCUUCCAGGUCCUCAUUCUCUGCAUCUGGAAUGACUACACACCCUUCUGCAAUUCAGGCUUUCAGUCCCACUGGCAGAUCAUCUUGAUGCAGUGUGCAACAUCAACCUGAACAAAACAAGGUGGCACUUGUUAACACUUUACCAAGUAAGACAACACUCAUUGAUGUAGGUCUUCAGAUCAGGAUGAGGAGUAAAUGCCUUGACCAGAGCUCUAAGCAAAGCCAGAGAAAAGUCACUCACAACCUCUUUUGGAAUUGGUGCACCUGCACGUAUCCAUUCUGUAAGCCAAUGUGUUAUUGCAUUAACAUCGUGUCUCUCUGACAGCAUUUGCACCACUGGGACACUUGAAUUCUCAUCCCCUGCCAGAACACCCUGAUAAGAUAUGGCCAGACAUGCCAUUAGGUCUCAGUUUCCUCACCACUGAGCCAGUUGCAUCAAAACUCAGUGGGGUUAGUAGACUUCUUUGAUAAUGACUUGCUGAGUGACCCCAGAAUGACCUUUGGAAUAUCCUUUUAAUACCCCCUGAACCAUUGCAGCACAAAUUAAACUUUUUACAGCACAAACAUUGCUGCUUGGUUCUUGCCUGCUGCUGUUUGGUUAUGUGUUGGUUACUAUCACUGAGAUCUGUUUUCUUUCAUUCAACUGUGUUGUAUCAGUUAUGCUGAUUCUUCUAUAGGGUAGUGGUUUUGGUCAGCUUUGGUAAACUUGCUACUUGUAAUCAGUGUGUGUGUGUGUGUGUGGGGGGGGGGGGGGUUAUCUGUGGUUUUUUUGUUUUAUUCUUUUGUUUGUCUGUCUUGUGUAUAUUGUAAUUGUGUGGGGUUGUCUUCCUCCCUUGUAGGAGCUGAGUUUCCUGAGGGGGGGUUCUUUGCUGCACCUUUCAGGCUUUUGUUGUGGAUAAAAAUGACAUGAAAUAAACACGAGGGAGAUUGAGUAUGAGUAAAAAUGUAAUUUUAUUGGUAAUUCACAGGACGGGUGGGUGCGUAGUCUGGAGGAGAGUAAGAGGGGGAGGAAAAUGGGGUGCGUCCUGGGGACAUGGGGAAAUCAGGGUGGGUGAAGUGAGCGGACCACUGAGAGUCGGGCGGACUGGUGGGUGAGAAGAGGGACGGAUGGUCG
ensembl:lncRNA